AACGAACGCUGGCGGCGCGCCUAAUACAUGCAAGUCGAGGGGCAGCAUGACUGUAGCAAUACAGUUGAUGGCGACCGGCAAACGGGUGCGGAACACGUACAGAACCUUCCUUCGAGCGGGGAAUAGCCCAGAGAAAUUUGGAUUAAUACCCCAUAGUACAACGGAGUGGCAUCACUUUGUUGUUAAAGAUUUAUCACUUGAAGAUGGCUGUGCGGCUGAUUAGGUAGUUGGCGGGGUAACGGCCCACCAAGCCUGCGAUCAGUAACUGGUGUGAGAGCACGACCAGUCACACGGGCACUGAGACACGGGCCCGACUCCUACGGGAGGCAGCAGUAAGGAAUAUUGGUCAAUGGACGAAAGUCUGAACCAGCCAUGCCGCGUGGAGGAUGAAGGUCCUCUGGAUUGUAAACUUCUUUUUAUAUGGGACGAAAAAAGGGUUUUCUAACUCGUCUGACGGUACCAUAUGAAUAAGCACCGGCUAACUCCGUGCCAGCAG
rnacentral:rRNA from 1 species